CCUAUGGCCAUACACAACCUCUGCCCCAGAGCACAGCCCUGGCCUGCCCUCACAGCACUGAGAGCCACCUUGGGAAUAUGGAGGCCACUCUUCCAAGCCAUCCUGGGUUUCAGAAAAGCCAAUUCUCUUCCCACAGAGGAAGCUUCCAAGCCACCUUUAGUUCUUCAAAAAGAGUUCCACUUCUCCCCAGAAGAUCAGGAAUACAGACAAACUAUAAGGCGAGACCUGCUUACUUUUGGCAUGGAGAGGAAGCAUCCUGGAUUUAAUGACAUUCCAUGGGCAGAUUAGGAAUGUAAGGAUGUUUAGUAGGACAGAAAUCUCUGCAGGGACUCAUGCUCCCACCAGCCAGUAAAGGCCCCCAGGGGUGGGAACAUUCACUGCUCCUGGCCUAUUGCCAACUCACAACCAUCCUAGGGGUCUGGCCAUGUGCCUGUGCCCAAGCCACACGGAACCUUCAACCACAAGUCACGCCACCCUGCUUCCUUGUGGCCCCCAAAUAAACAGCAGCUCCCGUGGCA